rnacentral:rRNA from 1 species
UACGUAGGUGGCAAGCGUUGUCCGGAUUCAUUGGGUUUAAAGGGUGCGUAGGCGGCCAUUUAAGUCAGUGCUGAAAUAUCACAGCUUAACUGUGAGGGUGUCAUUGAUACUGGGUGGCUUGAGUGCUAGCGAGGCAGGCGGAAUUGACGGUGUAGCGGUGAAAUGCUUAGAUAUCGUCAAGAACACCGAUAGUGUAGACAGCUUGCCAGGGAGCAACUGACGCUGAGGCACGAAAGUGUGGGGAUCAAACAGG